rnacentral:rRNA from 1 species
CGACUCUCGGCACGGAUAUCUCGGCUCUCGCAUCGAUGAAGAACGCAGCAAAAUGCGAUACUUGGUGUGAAUUGCAGAAUCCCGUGAACCAUCGAGUUUUUGAACGCAAGUUGCGCCCGAAGCCGUUAUGCUGAGGGCACGUCUGCCUGGGCGUCACG